rnacentral:misc_RNA from 1 species
CCGAGUUUACAACUCCCAAACCCCUGUGAACAUACCAAUUGUUGCCUCGGCGGAUCAGCCCGCUCCCGGUAAAACGGACGGCCCGCCAGAGGACCCCUAAACUCUGUUUCUAUAUGUAACCUCUGAGUAAAACCAUAAAUAAAUCA